UCAACCUUGUUAAGAGGAGUGUCCCAAUUCUUUAUAUAUUGGUCAUUAUUUCGGUAUUUUUACCGAUGUGGGAUUAUAUUCCCUUAACAUGCCCCCACAAGAUGGUGGCUCGUUUGAGCAGACCAAUCUUGAAAUCCGUGUGCUCAUUUUUAGAGACUUAAUCGAAUCGAAUCGUUCGUUGGAGUUUAAUGGGCUCUGAUACCAUGUUAAGAUUUGGGGUCCAUCUUAAUAAGGUCAACCUUGUUAAGAGGAGUGUCCCAAUUCUUUAUAUAUUGGUCAUUAUUUCAGU
rnacentral:lncRNA from 1 species